GGUCAAGUGAAGAAGCGCAUACGGUGGAUGCCUUGGCAGUCAGAGGCGAUGAAAGACGUGGUAGCCUGCGAAAAGCUUCGGGGAGUCGGCAAACAGACUUUGAUCCGGAGAUCUCUGAAUGGGGGAACCCACCUAGGAUAACCUAGGUAUCUUGUACUGAAUCCAUAGGUGCAAGAGGCGAACCAGGGGAACUGAAACAUCUAAGUACCCUGAGGAAAAGAAAUCAACCGAGAUUCCCUUAGUAGUGGCGAGCGAACGGGGAUUAGCCCUUAAGCUUCAUUGAUUUUAGCGGAACGCUCUGGAAAGUGCGGCCAUAGUGGGUGAUAGCCCCGUACGCGAAAGGAUCUUUGAAGUGAAAUCGAGUAGGACGGAGCACGAGAAACUUUGUCUGAACAUGGGGGGACCAUCCUCCAAGGCUAAAUACUACUGACUGACCGAUAGUGAACCAGUACCGUGAGGGAAAGGCGAAAAGAACCCCGGAGAGGGGAGUGAAAUAGAACCUGAAACCGUAUGCGUACAAGCAGUGGGAGCCUACUUGUUAGGUGACUGCGUACCUUUUGUAUAAUGGGUCAGCGACUUAUAUUCAGUGGCAAGCUUAACCGUAUAGGGUAGGCGUAGCGAAAGCGAGUCUUAAUAGGGCGUUUAGUCGCUGGGUAUAGACCCGAAACCGGGCGAUCUAUCCAUGAGCAGGUUGAAGGUUAGGUAACACUGACUGGAGGACCGAACCCACUCCCGUUGAAAAGGUAGGGGAUGACUUGUGGAUCGGAGUGAAAGGCUAAUCAAGCUCGGAGAUAGCUGGUUCUCCUCGAAAGCUAUUUAGGUAGCGCCUCAUGUAUCACUCUGGGGGGUAGAGCACUGUUUCGGCUAGGGGGUCAUCCCGACUUACCAAACCGAUGCAAACUCCGAAUACCCAGAAGUGCCGAGCAUGGGAGACACACGGCGGGUGCUAACGUCCGUCGUGAAAAGGGAAACAACCCAGACCGCCAGCUAAGGUCCCAAAGUUGUGGUUAAGUGGUAAACGAUGUGGGAAGGCUUAGACAGCUAGGAGGUUGGCUUAGAAGCAGCCACCCUUUAAAGAAAGCGUAAUAGCUCACUAGUCGAGUCGGCCUGCGCGGAAGAUGUAACGGGGCUCAAACCACACACCGAAGCUGCGGGUGUCACGUAAGUGACGCGGUAGAGGAGCGUUCUGUAAGCCUGUGAAGGUGAGUUGAGAAGCUUGCUGGAGGUAUCAGAAGUGCGAAUGCUGACAUGAGUAACGACAAUGGGUGUGAAAAACACCCACGCCGAAAGACCAAGGGUUCCUGCGCAACGUUAAUCGACGCAGGGUUAGUCGGUUCCUAAGGCGAGGCUGAAAAGCGUAGUCGAUGGGAAACAGGUUAAUAUUCCUGUACUUCUGGUUACUGCGAUGGAGGGACGGAGAAGGCUAGGCCAGCUUGGCGUUGGUUGUCCAAGUUUAAGGUGGUAGGCUGAAAUCUUAGGUAAAUCCGGGGUUUCAAGGCCGAGAGCUGAUGACGAGUCGUCUUUUAGAUGACGAAGUGGUUGAUGCCAUGCUUCCAAGAAAAGCUUCUAAGCUUCAGGUAACCAGGAACCGUACCCCAAACCGACACAGGUGGUCGGGUAGAGAAUACCAAGGCGCUUGAGAGAACUCGGGUGAAGGAACUAGGCAAAAUGGCACCGUAACUUCGGGAGAAGGUGCGCCGGCUAGGGUGAAGGAUUUACUCCGUAAGCUCUGGCUGGUCGAAGAUACCAGGCCGCUGCGACUGUUUAUUAAAAACACAGCACUCUGCAAACACGAAAGUGGACGUAUAGGGUGUGACGCCUGCCCGGUGCCGGAAGGUUAAUUGAUGGGGUUAGCGCAAGCGAAGCUCUUGAUCGAAGCCCCGGUAAACGGCGGCCGUAACUAUAACGGUCCUAAGGUAGCGAAAUUCCUUGUCGGGUAAGUUCCGACCUGCACGAAUGGCGUAACGAUGGCGGCGCUGUCUCCACCC
rnacentral:rRNA from 1 species